GUCUAUUAUGUGUACAAAGUUUCUUGGGUUUAGGAAGAGAUAUCGAAUCUUCAUAAGAAUCAACAUGAAGAAGAAAAGAGAGAUGAUUUCAAAUGAUGAGAAGAGUCAAAAAACUAUAGUCAUCAUUGGGUUUUCACAGCUAAAAGAGAAAGCAGCAUAUUUAAAAUCAUCAGUAAAAGAAUGAAUCAUGCCUGCCCAAGUCCCAGUGCACCUGCUGGUAGACCUCACUUGAAGCCCUGCGGUUUCCUGCAAAAGAGUGUGAGGAAUGAGUGAAGCAGUAAAUAAGGGCCUCAAUAGGUAUGGCUGUUCCCUGCAGACUGCUAGAACCAUCCCUGGAGGAACGGGGGGUUACAUAGCAGGUUACUUUUUUCCUGUAGUUUUGGCAGCACAAUCUUUUCUUAAACACACAAAGAAGUUAAACUCAAAUAAAUAAUGUCACUUUCA